GCUGAGGGGCAUAAAUCUUGCAAGUUGCUUUUCCGAGACCAGCCAGAACUAGCCCUAAAUGAAGACACUGUGCGCUCGCUGCUGGCGGCUGUAGUCUUCUCAUUUGGAUUUCAACAAGUAGUCCCAGCCAGAGAAGCAUUAGAAGAUCAAGCCUCACAUCUUCUGGUCAUAGAAUUCCUUUCUGCAGGCUCCACUGCAGGCUCAGGCCGCCGCGUAACCUGAGACGCCUCGAUUUCCCAGCAGACAGCACAUUAAAGGGAGGUCUGCCGGCCAGCUGCAGAGACAGAAAGCAGAGGUCACAGAGAUAAAUGUCAACUGUCAGAAGUGCCACAGAUGAAGGUGAUAUUCUUUUCUAA